AUACGUAGGUGGCAAGCGUUGUCCGGAAUUAUUGGGCGUAAAGCGCGCGCAGGCGGUCCUUUAAGUCUGAUGUGAAAGCCCACGGCUCAACCGUGGAGGGUCAUUGGAAACUGGGGGACUUGAGUGCAGAAGAGGAAAGUGGAAUUCCAAGUGUAGCGGUGAAAUGCGUAGAGAUUUGGAGGAACACCAGUGGCGAAGGCGACUUUCUGGUCUGUAACUGACGCUGAGGCGCGAAAGCGUGGGGAGCAAACAGGAUUAGAUCCCCUUGUAGUCCACGCCGUAAACGAUGAGUGCUAAGUGUUAGGGGGUUUCCGCCCCUUAGUGCUGCAGCUAACGCAUUAAGCACUCCGCCUGGGGAGUACGGUCGCAAGACUGAAACUCAAAUGAAUUGGCGGGG
rnacentral:rRNA from 1 species